AGUGCUGAGAACCAUUAAAGUGUGCUUUUAACCUUUUUGCCUCUGGCUUUCUAGACUGCUGUAACCAAAACACCAUAGACCAGUUGAUUUAAACAAAAAAAAAUUUCCUUUUCAUAGACUCAAAUUGAGGCACCAGUGGAUUUGAGCUCCCUCCGGAAACUUGGCAAUUUGCUUUCUAUUAUAGGACAGGAGUAGAUCAUCUAUUUAAAAAGGAUUCAAAUAAGAUCACAAGCAAGACAGAAUACUUUCAGGUAAGAGUUUAAGUGAUAAUGGAGCAAAGGGGUGUGUGAAGAAUGCUGUAAAGCCUGGUGAUACGUGCAGGAAGACAUGGGUCCAGCACACGAGCUAAAACCCAACCACAAAGCAGACCAGGCAGGAGCAGCUGUUGGCUGCAAAGGAAAUCAUACCCACAACACCAUCAUCCAUAAAAACCAAGGACGGUGAGAGAGGAUGCCUAGCACUCUACCAGGAAACUCUUACAUAUUUAAAUCAUCACGGUGAGAAGAAACACCAUGGGUAGCAAGCUUUGUCUAAUUUUGAAAGCCAUCACCCUUGUGCUGAACAAGAACACUUACACACUGUUUACAGAACUUGGAAGAAACAGAAAGGCUCAUCAACAAGUCGAUAAAACUACAACUGACCCUACUAACACUUGUGCAAUUGGCCACAAGUGUUUCUGUACAUUGUAGGAUGUGUUGUGCCUGUUGAAGUUUUAUUUCCAUCAUGUUGGAAACACCGAAUAUGCACUUGGGCAGAUAAAACUUUUAAACAUAAAAAAGUCAAUAAAAUGCAUUUGCUCUG